AUUGGACAAUGGGGGCAACCCUGAUCCAGCCAUGCCGCGUGAGUGAUGAAGGCCUUAGGGUUGUAAAGCUCUUUCACCGGUGACGAUGAUGACGGUAACCGGAGAAGAAGCCCCGGCUAACUUCGUGCCAGCAGCCGCGGUAAUACGAAGGGGGCGAGCGUUGUUCGGAAUGACUGGGCGUAAAGCGCACGUAGGCGGCUCGUUUAGUCAGAGGUGAAAUCCCGGGGCUUAACCUCGGAACUGCCUUUGAUACUGGCGGGCUUGAGGCCGAAAGAGGGUGACGGAAUACCCUGUGUAGAGGUGAAGUUCGUAGAUAGUGGGUAGAACACCGGUGGCGAAGGCGGUCGCCUGGUCCGGUACUGAC
rnacentral:rRNA from 1 species